AUGACCUCCAUUGAUACCAGAGCAGCUCACUGCAAAGAAUACAUUUCAUGCCAUUUAUUUGAACAAAGGCUUAAUACCACUCUCCAUCUGUGGAAUGAAUGCCAUUUCAGCUUCAAAUUCUGAAAGCGGGAGAUGUCUGAAUAGCCGAGAAAGAACGGUAAUGAAGUGACAUCGGUAUCCAUAAAUGUCAGACAACUUACGACCAUUAUGGAUGCAUUUUUUAUUGGAUAAAAACAUGGCGUCACCAUCAGUAAUACGGCUUUCUCGGUUCCAUAUACAAGCCAUCAAAACGCACCAAUUACCUUAAGAUAAUUUGAAGCAUCAAAUUCUCAGGGCCAGAUGUCGACAUGUUUUAACCCAAGUUACACGUCAUAAGAUACAAUUCGGAGUCUUCAACCUUGCAAUUCGGAGCUUCUUCAAUGGAAUUAUGGAUGGAGUCCUAUUUAUACAGCUGAGUUUGUGAAAUUCAUUUUGGCCUCGCCUAAGUUUAUAUUUGCCAAAAAACAAUUAAAAUAUAAAUGGUCUGUGUA